AACGAACGCUGGCGGCAUGGAUUAGGCAUGCAAGUCGAACGAGGUAGCAAUACCUAGUGGCGAAAGGGUGAGGAACGCGUGAGUAAUCUGCCCUCAAGUUGGGAAUAACAGUUGGAAACGACUGCUAAUACCGAAUGUGGCUAUUAAACCGCAUGGUUUUUUGGCUAAAGAUUUAUUGCUUGAGGAUGAGCUCGCGUCCCAUUAGCUAGUUGGUGAGGUAACGGCUCACCAAGGCGAUGAUGGGUAGCUGGUCUGAGAGGAUGGUCAGCCACACUGGGACUGAGAAACUGCCAGACUCCUACGGGAGGCUGCAGUCGAGAAUCUUGGGCAAUGCGCGAAAGCGUGACCCAGCAAUGCCGCGUGUGUGAUGAAGGUCUUCGGAUUGUAAAACACUGUCACCCGGGACGAAAUAAUGACGGUACCGGGGGAGGAAGCCACGGCUAACUACGUGCCAGCCGCCGCCGUAAUAC
rnacentral:rRNA from 1 species